rnacentral:rRNA from 1 species
GGAAACGGUAGGUAAACUCUGAUAAGCCCGAGAGGGGAAAGUGGGAGUCAGCCUUGGGAUGGACCUACUAUCCAUCAGGUAGUUGGUGAGGUAAAGGCUCACCAAGCCGAUGACGGAUAACCGGUGUGAGAGCAUGGACGGUCACAAGGGCACUGAGACACGGGCCCUACUCCUACGGGAGGCAGCAGUGGGGAAUCUUGGACAAUGGGCGAAAGCCUGAUCCAGCGACGCCGCGUGAAGGAAGAAGUCCCUCGGGAUGUAAACUUCUGAACUAAUCGAAUAAAAGGGUAGUGGACACACUACAGAAGAAGGUAGAUUAGGAAAAGUCCCGGCUAACUACGUGCCAGCAGCCGCGGUAAGACGUAGGGGGCGAGCGUUGCCCGGAAUUACUGGGUGUCAAGGGGACGUCGGCGGGUGAUCAAGUCCUCUGUGAAAAGAUGGCUCAACGAUUGGCUUGCGGAUGAAACUGAUCAUCUUGGGCGUAGCAGAGGUAGACGGAAUUACCUGAGUAGGGGUGAAAUCCGCAGAUACAGGUAAGAACGCCGGUGAAGAAGUUGGUCUACUGGGCUACAGCUGACGCUGAGGUCCGAAAGCCAGGGGAGCGAACCGGAUUAGAUACCCGGGUAGUCCUGGCUGUAAACGAUGCUCACUAGGUGUAGGGAGCGAAAGACUCUCUGUGCUGAAGCGAACGCGCUAAGUGAGCCACCUGGGGAGUACGUCCGCAAGGAUGAAACUCAAAGGAAUUGACGGGGGUCCGCACAAGCGGUGGAGCAUGUGGUUUAAUUCGAAGCUAACCGAAGAACCUUACCAGGGAUUGACAUG